rnacentral:rRNA from 1 species
AUUGAACGCUGGCGGCAGGCCUAACACAUGCAAGUCGAACGCGUCGCGGACGGGUGAGAAGUGUCUGGGAAAGUGCCUGAGGGAGGGGGAUCACUAGUGAAAACUGUAUCUAACCCCGCAUACCAGCAGAUGCGCACAGAUGGGAUUAGCUAGUAGGUGGGGUAAAGGCUCACCUAGGCGACGAUCCCUAGCUGGUCUGAGAGGAUGAACAGCCACACUGGAACUGAGACACGGCCCAGACUCCUACGGGAGGCAGCAGUGGGGAAUAUUGCACAAUGGGCGCAAGCCUGAUGCAGCCAUGCCGCGUGUAUGAAGAAGGCCCUCGGGUUGUAAAGUACUUUCAGCGGGGAGGCGUUACCCACAGAAGAAGCACCGGCUAACUCCGUGCCAGCAGCCGCGGUAAUAC